ensembl:lncRNA
CUGUUGAUACAGGAUUACAACAAAUAUUAAAAGAGAAUUCUGAAAUAGCACCACAAGGGAUAACUCAAAACUAUAUGGACCAGUAUCAGAAUAAAUUACUCAUAUAUACAGACGGGUCAAAACAGCCUGAGACUGGCCGCAACUGGUGCGGCUUUUUUCAUUCCCCGGUAUGAAGUAGCGGUCAAAAAAGGGUGACCGAUCAUUUAUCAGUGUACACUGUAGAACUGUUAGGAGUCCUAUUGGCACUGCAGUUUUUGGGAAAAAAUAAUCAGAACCAAGAUGUCGCUAUAGCUUCUGACAGUCUAUCAGCACCAUCAAGCAUACAGUCUGGGAAAACAUCAUGCAGACAAGACAUUGUCUACCAAAUACUUCAUCUGCUUCUCAUACUUCAUGCUAAGGGGCUGAGUGUUCCUUCUUCUGGGUUCCUGCACAUGUAGGGGUAGAAGGAAAUGAAACUGUGGAUGUACUGGCAAAGAGAUCUAUAAAGCAUGAAACAGUUGAUAUACAAGUACCAUUAAGUAGAGCAGAGAUCAAAACCAUUAUAAAGGGACAAGAGCAUAAAAUACGGCAGGAACACUGGGACACAGCUGACACCGGACGACACCUACAUACCAUACAAAAACAGUAGGCACGAGUGUGAGGCAGGGCAGGAACCCAAAGGAAGAGAUGAUAGUACACGUCUUAGAAUAGGUCAUGCUGGAUUAAAUCUAGCAUUAAACAGAAUAGGAAAACACCCCACUGGACUCUGCACACACUGCAGUACACAAGAGACGGUGAAACACGUACUGUUAGACUGCAAAAGGUAUGAGGAGGAAAGAACUGAGCUAGAGAUGCAGAUUGGAAAACAAAACAUGACACUAGAGAACUUGCUGGGGAAAACAUCUGGGGAAAUGCACCGCCCCCUAAUGAACUAUCUAAAAAUACUGGGAUAAGUGAGAGACUUUAAUAACUUAGCAUGAAUACCUAGUAUAUAGUUUGUUUUUUAUUUAUGUAUUAUUAUUAUUAUUAUUAUUAUUAUUAUUAUUAUUAUUAUUAUCAUCCUGCCAAUCUGCCGGCCACACUCCAGUCCCGUAGGUGGCGGUAAUGCACCUUCAGGUGGUAAAAACAAACAGAAGACGAAGAAGCGCCCCUUUCUGCUUUUCUCUCCAGAGAUGUGAGCAUGCUUUUUUGUGUCUCUAGUGUUAAUCUCGAUUAAUCUAUCUAUUUUACAAGUAAUUAAAAUUGUAAAACUUGUACAUCGGAUUUAAGAAACAGCUUUUCUAUCAUUUUUACGGUAUAUCUUUUAUAUACCUUAUAUAUAUCUUUUAUAUUUUUCUGUUUAGUACAGAGUCAUUUUCCUGCGCGUGAGUUUUGAGAGGUUCCCUGCAGUUUCUAAAACUAUGUAUGUGUAUUUUUGUGCAUAUUGUGUGUGUGUUUUGAACAAAUGCUCGGCGUUGACAUUACCAUGCAGAUUUAUUGAUUUAUUUUUAUUUAAACGAAGUGUAUUGAAUUAGUUUUAACUUGUUAGCAUACAUUAGCGAUGUACAUUUACCUCAUUCGCACGCGCAAAUAAAAAAAGGUGAAUAGUUUUAUUAGCAUUAGCUCAUGUAGCUUUUGAGACUACAAACAGGUAAGUUUAUACUCAAAACGUUCAGCUUUUGUCGGCUGUCUACUUUUCUCACGCGUUUCACCGGACAUUAUGCCGUUCACGCUAGUCGGAAAAUGUUAACCGCGCGCUUGGGUUCGCCCCGGAAGUGGAAAGAGUGAACUGCGUUCACUUCCGGCCUCCGCCGCCAUCUUUUGUUAGCACCGUGUCGUCAGCUACCUGUUAAGACUGAAGCCCGUCACUUCCUCAAAACAACACGAAGUGUAGUAGUUAUUAUUAUUAGAGUAUUCGGCUUACCUCAACAUAACCUUUUUAAAAGAAUAAAUAAAAACUCCAACUAACCGUACUCUGACGCAGUUUCGUUUCCGUACCAGGAAAAAGUUUUAGUGUAGAAUAGAUCUGCGUCGGCUCCCGCGACCUGGUCCGCGUACACACCUGGAGUUGUAUUGCGCCCGCGCUCGCUGUAUUUCGGCACCUACCGUGUGUACUGCGGCAUUACUAACUCUUACCCGUUGAACAGUAAUGUUACGAAUGAAAGAAACGGUGAGGAGAUUGACUUCAGUUCGCACAGCAAACUCUUUAAUACCUGCAAUGUUCGUGGAAAAUCGGAUCGUUUGCAUGAAACAGCUGAGAAACUAGUGCCGAGUUUAUUAGAGGAUGUGACUUUAGUGUAGAACGCACAACACGUUGAACCUUGAAGUGGAUGGACGACGACAACAGCAGAAGACCACACGAACAGGACUCUGGAUCUAUCGUGGGUGCAGACUCGCCUAAAUGGCACAGCUGAAGAUUCAACUGUGUGUAUGUAGGGGAGUGCACCCGCGAAAGCCUCAGAUUCCUGUUCCUGUCUAAUAGGUGAGGAACCUGCUGAGGUCUUCAGCUGUUGUAGCUCUUCCAUUGUGCUGCUGCCUUAUCGUUGGCUGAUUGAAUAGCUACAUUCAGUGAGCAGGUGUUCUUAUUAAAGUGGAUGGAGAGCAUUCAGACAGUUGCUUGUUAAAUCUAUAAUGACGAUGUCGCUUACUGAAGGUAAAUAUACAUCACUAAUGUAUGCUAACAAAUUAAAGCUACUUGCAUGGAAUGUGAGUUUAUUACAGUAAAUAUGAAACAUGGCUAUAGAACACACUACCUGCUUUUUAUGGAAGGUGUGUUAACCCCCUGGGGACGUGAGAAUCGCCGGCGAGCUCCACCAUGGUCAGACUCCCUUGUAUCUUCUUUCUCACGUAAUAUCAUGACGGGGUUUUAACAUACGAGCAUGACUAAAAGCUGGUGAGAAUCUGUAGCGUGUCAGCUUUCAGGCGUGCCUACACAUAGAUCAUAUGAACAUCUGUAAAUCUUUCAAUUGUAGAAAAACUCCAGUAUGUCCCUGUAGUGAGAGAGAACUACGUAUCCGUGCUUCCACCUGUUUGCAUAUUAAUAACAUGUUAAUGUCAGUCAGUCAGGGGGAGGAGUGAAGCUACGAGUGUGUGCUGGUGAGAAACAGGAGUUUCUCUCUGAUGGGUGGAGGAACAUUCAGGAAGUCUGGUGCUUUACAGCAAUUCGAGUGUAUUGAAGUGUACAUUGCCUUUUAUUUCCCUGAUGUUUGCUAAAUUGCUGAAAUAAAUGUGAAUUUAUUAUACGUGUGAAUCCUACAAUAAAAAGGUCAAAUGUGUAAAGUGUGUGUGGUCAUCAUUAUUGCAGACUGAAGGAAGUACAAAACGCCAAAAGCUGAUGUUUCUGAUUAUUAUACAGACUCCUAGUUUUCUAACAGACAGAAUAUGAAUGGAGUACGUUGAAGUGAUUUUUAUUCAUUUUAUUUUUUUUAUAAGGUUUACUUCAUUUUCUGCUUUAAACAGCAUUUAAACCGCCAGAACUAAAUCUCUCAAGGUUCACCCCUAGCCAUUUUAUUCAUUACUUUCAUGUUUAGACCUAAAUGUGCUGAAUCAGUUUUAAGCAACAGGUUAAUGAAGGACUUGUUUUUCUGUUCAACCCUGCCCCAGUUAGAUGCUUGUGUUUAAAAAUACUGUAUAAAUUAUUCAUAAUUGUGGCUCUCUUCUAGUUAAAAUGGCUAAAUACAUCAGUUUAAAAACAAAAACCGAUUCACCAUAAAAUAAUCCAAGUUCACCUAAUUGUUGUGAUUUUGGCAGCGACUACUUGUAGUGUCCAGACAGCCUGCGUUUUAUCACUUUAAGCUUAAAACAGUUGAUCAAGUCGGUGGUUCCCAAACUUUUCCAGGGCAAGGCCCCUCAAAUGGCAUUGACAUGUGACCGAGGCCCCCCUUUUGCAACAUGUCUUUAAAACACAUUAAAAAUACAGACUUCUGAAUAUAUUCCCCCUUUUUUAUUUUUAUUAAUAAUGACAUCUUACAUCAUUGCAUUACAUUAGGAAUUGUGUGUGUGUGUGUGUGUGUGUCUGAGAGUGA